GGAUAUGAUGAGAUUUUCCAUGUAAUAAAAUUACUCCUGAUAAGUAGUUCUUGACACAGUGUUGCUCAAUAAAUAUUGGCUAUUAUCUUUAUUAUCUUCUGAACCAUCUUGCUAUUUCUCCAAUAUGGUUACAAAAAUAUACAAAAAAAAUAGUAGCAUGCUCCCAUACAUUUAUUUAGCUCAUAUAGCUCUCAGUUGGCUGGAGGUCAGCUAACCUAGGCCAGACUAAGCUGAGUAUCUCUCCUGCACUUGGAUGGGUCUCCUCAAACAUUUGUUGAUUGAUUCUGUUCCAUAUUUUCUUCUCUCUCUCCAGAAUAAGAGGGCUUCCCUGAACUAAGUCUUAUCAUGGAGAUGCCGGAAGAGAGCUAGCCCAACUCUUUGAAUGAUUUUCAAGGCUUUGGUUCCAUUACACUUGCUAACAUUCUGUUGGUCAAUGUAUGUCACAUGAGUGAAAUCAGUCAGGAGUCAUGAAAUAGACUCCACCACUGAGGUGUGGGAGGACUGGAAAGCCACUUAUCCAACAAAAUGGAUUCAGAUAAUGUAAGAGAAUUGGGGAAAUGGGGACAGUUACUUAUCUCAACAACACAAACCACUCUGGUACUCUCUCCUUCCAUAGCUUCAUUCCUACUCAAUUUGGUCUGCCCUUCUUCCAUAUCCAUUCUCUGUAAGUUUUUCUAUAACCUCUUGCAUUGUGCCUUAUGGACCAUCUCAUCAUGUUAACAUUCACUUACAGCCUUCAAUCAACUUUUCCUACAUGAUUCACUUUAACUGAAUCUUGGUUUUCUCCUAAUGCUACAAAUUCCUUUCUGUUUCAAAUUCUUCUUUUGAACUCAUUUGAUGGCAAGUUCAGGCAGUAUACCACUCAUGCCUUUUUUCAAGAUAAUUGUUCUCUUGGGUUGAUAUUUUCCACUUCUGUAUAUCUCUUUUCAAAUUAGCAUUUUAAAUUCACUUUAUUCCCUGCCAGCUUCAAAGUUUCAAAUUUGUUUCUUUACCCUUUUGCCCCUUUGGUUUCUUAGAUUUCCUUCCCAGACUUCAAAAUUGGGCAUUAUUCUAUUUCAUUUCCUACUUCUCAGGUUUCUACUUUGCUUCAUGUAUGAGAAAUUUUCUUUCUCUCACCCUGUGAAUAAUAAGUAUUCUUUAAAGUCUUGUCCUUAGCAUUCAACUCAUUUCUUUUUCCUUGAUAGUCUAAUUUCUUCCUACAGGUUAAAUUAUCAUCUCCAUUGGAUCAGUCCAAAUUUAUGUUUCCCACAUUGGCUUCCUUCCCAAGACACAGCACUAAACUCUCAACAGUCUCCUGCUCUUUACUGUUCCUAAGUGAUCUACAUCUGUUUUGAUGACCCCUAUUUUCUUUAUUGCUAUCUAAAUCAUCCCAGGACACAGGACUGGACAUUCAUGUAUUCAAUUUAUUUAAAUAUAUUUAGUCCUUUCUAUUCUAAUCUAAUUAAAUCUUUCCACACUCUUGUGUAUCACAAGGACCUCAAAUGAAUCUAACAAUCAUAUGUUAAUUGCCUCUUCUAUGCCAAUCUUGCAAGGCAGGGUAGAUAAAAAUAUGUAUAAGAUAAGGACCAAAAUUUCAAUAAGUUUAUUAGAAAAGGCAGAAAAUCAACAUUUGGCUGUAAAGAGCCAUUCUAGUGGCAUAAAUAAAACACUAAGGUGCAAGAAAUAAAUUCUGAUAUGGGGAUCUGUCAGUGUAGUCUUCACAGAGGAGGUGACAUUUGAACAAUGAGUUAGACAUAUAGCAUCCUUGACAUUUAAAAGUUUACAGUCUACAUAAUGUCUAAACUGUAUUAAUGUCUAUAACAAUGCUUGUCUGCACUUGGGAACAUCAGCAACACUUUAAAAGCACAACUGCUUCAGGAGAACUCACCUUGUUUUGCCUUCUGAGUCUUUGUUCUGAGUCAGAUUUGAUGCUUUGAACAUUUACCUUCUUCUUGGGCCCACCUCCCCUAAAUAGAUUUCAGUUCCCUUUUGCUCAUGUCCUAAAACUGCUGACAAGACCUGGCUCCUGGGAAUCUAGCCAUUUGCAGAAUCUGAGACACUUUCUUUCUUUGGUUGACUAUUCAGAUAAUUCUAGAAAUAGGACAGAAGGGUAAAGAACAAUGAUUUGAAAAAAUAUGGAAGAUGCCAUUAAAGAGUUUCAUAAUGUGAUGGGGAUUUACAAUAAUUCCUGACAAGUAUGCCACCUUCUUCCCCAGAUAACUGUGGACAGACUUAUCCUGAUCAAUUACUUUUUCUUUGCAUAAAUACUGUCUCUCUAUUUUUGCCUUCUUCUUUGAUUAUUCUAGAAGAGAAUUGUAUCAAUAUAUGAAUGAGAAUAUCUACAUGUUUAUCUAUGAAAUUUGCAAGUCCAUUCUUAUUUUAUUGAAUCUAUCUGUCUUUUGAAUAAGGUAUGUGGCCAUGGGUAUAGCUUACCUCAGAUUUCUUAGGCACUGGAAUACUUGAGCAUGAGUUGGUCCUAAUAUUAGCUGUAGCACUAUGCACACACUUAUGAAAGACAGCAACCCUAUUGGACCCGGGUGCAUGCAUGAGGCUCAUGCUUCUAUGACUGGAUUGCGGUAAUACGAAUCUGAGCUUGUUUGUCUAUAAGUGUAUCUGGGCAGAUGCUAAAAGGUGAGUAAUGACUACCUCAGAUCAAAUGAGUGUGUAGUGGAAAAUGAAACAAAUCAAACUAGGUCCAAUAGUAGGAAAGAGUGCAUGUUGAUGAACUAAUUGGGCAGCAGGCUUAGGAUGGCUUUGAGAGUUCACAUCAGGAUGGAUGAAAUAAUAGAACUUCCUGUUCUUCAGGAUCCAACAGCAAAAGAGCUAGGCUGAGGUAAAAAUUAGGAUUUUUUUCUUUCUGUUAGGAUAGUUUUCUUAUGGACUCAGUAUUAAAACAAGUAAUUAGAUUUUUUUUUUUUUGGUUACAUCUCAAAAGAAUUGUUUUGAAUUGAAUUUUCUGAUGUAUUUUUUCUAUAAAUUCACUUUCCAUUGCUACUUUGUAGUAAGAUUACAUCUUAAAAGUCUAUGAGUUGGUCUCCGGAGGAGACAGUUUGGGGGGUGGGAGGAUGUGCCUGAGCUGUGGGAUGGAAAUCCUGUGAAAUCAGAUUGUUAUGAUCAUUAUACAACUACAGUUGUGAUAAAUUCAUUUGAGUAAUAAUAAAAAAAAGUCUAUGAGUAAAUGAUUUAUCCAGAAAUUGUGAUAGUAUGUGCCUAAUUAUAAUACAUAUGAAAAGCUUAUAGGUCCAAAUAUAGUAUGCAAAAUGUGAAAUGUGAAAAGGUUUUUACAGAAUGGUCUAAUUUACAAAAAGAUUGACAAUAAUCUAUGACCAUGGGAGCUUUGUAAGUAUGAAGGACAAACAAACAUCAUUACAUUAAUCCUAAAUAUGAAAAAUGUAUAAAAAAGAUAAACUCGUCUCUCCAAAAAUCUGAUACUAGAGCAAUUAGAAUUAGUGGAGCCAAUUCUGCUAUUUUUGUUGAAAGUAGUUCUGACAUAAUAUUAAAAACUUUAUGUAUAUAUCAAUCUCAAUAUUUUUACAAAUGUGAAAAAUCAGCAGGAUCACAAGAUGCUACACUUCAGAGACAAUUUCCUCUAUUAAUUUUUUAAAAUAAUUACCAGUUAUUUAGAGAGAGACAUUUUUAGUAUAUAAUUAGUAUGACAAUAUUGACAAGAAAGAUGUGGCAAAACACAUAUGCUAAAAUGUAUAAAGAGAUGUAGUUCUCCUUAAUGAAGCAAUUUAACACAGUAGUGGAAUUAUUUAACAAAGGAAAAUUUAAUUGCAUACAUUACCAUAAUUCUUCCUAUUUACAAGAGAAAUAAAAGCAUUAAAGCUCUGUUUAACAAAUAAAAUUUACAUUUCUUUCAUUCCUUAGCAUGUUUUAGGAAUCUGAUAAGGUGGUUAAUAGUUGUAAAGCCUAUAUAUUAUUAAGAUAUCCCAAAGAUAACAGAUAUCAUGUCUGGCACAUAAAGUGCUCAAUAAAUCAUUUGUUCUAAUUUUUCUCCUAUAAAUAAAGCAAAAGUGUAGUUGAAUACCAACAUUUGUACCACUUCUAAUGCUAAUAUUAGCAAUAAUUUUUGCUUAUUGAUCAUCUGUUAUAUAAUAUGCAUUGGGACAUUGGCUUUACAUAAACUUAUUGACUAUACAUGAGCUAUUUUACUGACCUGGCUACUUUAUGUUAUGGCCUCUAGGUAUAAUUUUAAAAUCAACUUUCUCAGGAAGAAUUUUUUAAUACAGUUAUGUAGAUGAGAAAUUCUUAUUUGGCUGGAACAGUACUGAUUUCUAUGUUGAAAAAUCAGAAGUGUUAUAGACCUUUAGAAGAUUUUUCAUGUCCCUAUCUUGUUUGCAAUCACAUCUCUUUGUAGUUACUGAUAGAGACUUUUAGUAGCCUCAGAUAAGAGCUGAGACAACAAAGGUUCAAGUAAACUGUGGCUUCCCUGGGUUUUCUUAGUAACUGUGGGAGCUGUGACUUAAAUUUAGCUAUUUUUAACAUUUAAUCCCAGUUUUCUUUCCUUUACAACAUAUUUUCUCUGUCUUGAUGAUAAAUUCAUUAGUAACUGUAGAAAUAUAUUUUAAGAGCGAUGUUGACUAAUUUUUUCUAUGGUUUUCAGGAGGUCAGGACAAAAGGGAAUGGUUGUAAAGCAAUAGGAAAGGAUUUUAAAGUUUGGGAUAAAAUUUUUGCUUUUACCAUCUGUGAAACAUCAUAAUGGAAGUAUAAAGUAUAAAUAAAACUAUGUUUGGAGGAAGAUGUAGUGAGAAUAGGCUAUGUGAUUCAUCUAAGAUAUUCUCCUGGUUUAAGAUUAUAACAGUUUCUAUCAUGUAUAUUAACUAAUUUCCCAUAAACUUCCUCCCCCAUGAAAAUAGAUUUUGCUUCUCCUCCUUCCCUCAUGUGUACACCACCCAAACUCAAACAUCUGCACACUACACACAGACACAUACAAAUAGAACUUUUUAAAAUGGAUAAUGGUAAACCAUAGCAGCUUCUUGAUUGCUAAUCCUAAAUUACUUAUGUUUGCCCACUACUCAAAACAGUUCUCUCUGAUGAAAACAUGACAAAACAUAAGGUGGGUGGGCACAAAUUAGGUGUUCAGGUACUUCAAGAAGGAACUAAACAAGCCUAACACUUUUGCUGUGAUUCUAUAGACAGAUCAGCUAAAGCAGGAGUUGGCCACUUUGCUUCUGUCUUCAAUACAGUGAGGUAGAGAUUUUAACAUCUUGCCACACACAAACUAGGCAAUUGAACCACUUGAGAUUGUCACAGGUAAAAUGGAAUGAAUACUUCCGUCAGUGUCAUUUUUGGGUUAACCUCCUCUCUGCCUCCCGUGGAUUAAAGCUAAUGAUUUUCCAAAAGAGUUGUGACUAUUACUCUGUUGAUAAGUUGUCUUGCUUCUGAAAUCAUUUAUCAACUUACCUGCUUUAAGUUUUAUUAUUAAAUAUUUCCUGUGCUGAUCAAUUUAUUUGGAAAAGACUGUUUAGGAGUUUGGAAAAGUCUAUAGGCAAGUUAAAGGUAUUGUUUGAUUACUUAGGAAAAUUUCCAUAUAUUGACAUAAUAGCAUACUUAUAAUAACAAAACGGGAACUAUAAAAUAUGAAAAGGAGUAAUUAUCAUGACAACAUUGUAUGUUAAAUGCUAUUUUCUGAUCAGAUGGCCACAGUGGAAAUUGAGGGUGUGGUACCUUCAGAAGCUGUAAGUAUUGCUCAGAUUUUCUACUGAGUAGAAAUUUGUGGCAUUUUAACUACUAUAUUCCAAAAAGAACUUUUACAAAAAUAAAAACUGAAAAUCUUGUAUUUCAUAAAUGUGUCUGCUCAUGAGCUGUGACUUUUCACUGGAGAGGAUGUUCACAUUGCCUUUAACUAUCUUUGAAAAUUUACUUACAAUUUAGGACAUAAUGCAUCUGGCAAUAAUUCUGCCCCAAGUUUCUUGGAGCGUAAUAUGAUUCUAAAAAUGCUCCCCCUGGGACUUCCCAUCGUGGCGCAGUGGUUAACGAAUCCGACUAGGAACCAUGAGGUUGCGGGUUCGAUCCCUGGCCUCACUCAGUGGGUUAAGGAUCCGGCAUUGCCGUGAGCUGUGGUGUAGGUUGCAGACGCGGCUCGGAUCCCGCGUUGCUGUGGCUCUGGCGUAGGCCAGGGGCCACAGCUCCGAUUCGACCCCUAGCCUGGGAACCUCCAUAUGCCGUGGGAGCGGCCCAAAGAAAUAGCAAAAAAAAAAAAAAAAAAAAAAAAAA
rnacentral:lncRNA from 9 species